ensembl:lncRNA novel transcript
GUUCCAUUUUGUUUUCUGCUCUAACAGGGCAGCACUGAGUUCAAUGCCUCACAGUUGUUGCACUUUGCCUCUCUCCAGUGCACAGAAUCACUCUCCGCACCAUGCCACAGCUGCUUGGGAAUGGGGGAGGGAUGGUGUUUGUGAUUCAAGACUGUUUUUCCUACCUCUUCAAUGCCUCUUUCAGCAAUAUGAAGUUAAAACCAGGCCCAGUCCGGAGGCACAAGCCCACUUGCGCCAGCAGCGCGCCUCAGCAAGACAGCAGAAGCAGGAAGAGAGCCGGCCGGAAGACACUUACCCUGGCCGGAAGACAUGUACCCCUGAGGAUCGCGAGAGGCCAUCCGGUUGCUGCGUAGCAGUCCCGUCAGACUGGAACACUUCCUGUUUACAGGACACUGUAAAACCCCUGCUCAGCACUCAUUUGGUGCUGACGCCAUUUUAGGUCUCAUACCGUCUGCACCCAGGCGCCCAAUAAAACAGCAUGUUGCUCCACACCA